GACGAACGCGGGCGGCGUGCCUAAUACAUGCAAGUAGAACGCUGAAGGAGGAGCUUGCUCUUUCCGGAUGAGUUGCGAACGGGUGAGUAACGCGUAGGUAACCUGCCUGGUAGCGGGGGAUAACUAUUGGAAACGAUAGCUAAUACCGCAUAACAGUAGAUAUCGCAUGAUAGCUGCUUGAAAGGUGCAACUGCACCACUACCAGAUGGACCUGCGUUGUAUUAGCUAGUUGGUGAGGUAACGGCUCACCAAGGCAACGAUACAUAGCCGACCUGAGAGGGUGAUCGGCCACACUGGGACUGAGACACGGCCCAGACUCCUACGGGAGGCAGCAGUAGGGAAUCUUCGGCAAUGGACGGAAGUCUGACCGAGCAACGCCGCGUGAGUGAAGAAGGUUUUCGGAUCGUAAAGCUCUGUUGUAAGAGAAGAACGAGUGUGAGAGUGGAAAGUUCACACUGUGACGGUAUCUUACCAGAAAGGGACGGCUAACUACGUGCCAGCAGCCGCGGUAAUACGUAGGUCCCGAGCGUUGUCCGGAUUUAUUGGGCGUAAAGCGAGCGCAGGCGGUUAGAUAAGUCUGAAGUUAAAGGCUGUGGCUUAACCAUAGUACGCUUUGGAAACUGUUUAACUUGAGUGCAAGAGGGGAGAGUGGAAUUCCAUGUGUAGCGGUGAAAUGCGUAGAUAUAUGGAGGAACACCGGUGGCGAAAGCGGCUCUCUGGCUUGUAACUGACGCUGAGGCUCGAAAGCGUGGGGAGCAAACAGG
rnacentral:rRNA from 1 species